AUCCAGCUGACGAGUCCCAAAUAGGACGAAAUGCGCGUCAUUCUGGAU
rnacentral:hammerhead_ribozyme from 1 species